CAGUAGCCGCGGGAAUACGAACCGUGCGAACGUUAUUCGGAAUUACUGGGCUUAAAGCGCGUGUAGGCGGGCCGCCACGUCGGUUGCUGAAAUCCCCCGGCUCAACCGGGGAAGUGGCAUCGAUACGAGCGGCCUUGAGGGGGGUAGGGGGAUCUGGAACUUCCGGUGGAGCGGUGAAAUGCGUUGAGAUCGGAAGGAACGCCCGUGGCGAAGGCGAGGUCCUGGACCCUUUCUGACGCUGAGACGCGAAAGCCAGGGGAGCGAACGGGAUUAGAUACCCGCGUAGUCCCUGUCUCUUAUA
rnacentral:rRNA from 1 species